GAAAUGCGAUAAGUAAUGUGAAUUGCAGAAUUCAGUGAAUCAUCGAAUCUUUGAACGCACAUUGCGCCCCCUGGUAUUCCGGGGGGCAUGCCUGUUCGAGCGUCAUUUCACCACUCAAGCCUCGCUUGGUAUUGGGCAACGCGGUCCGCCGCGUGCCUCAAAUCGACUGGCUGGGUCUUCUGUCCCCUAAGCGUUGUGGAAACUAUUCGCUAAAGGGUGUUCGGGAGGCUACGCCGUAAAACAACCCCAUUUCUAAGGUUGACCUCGGAUCAGGUAGGGAUACCCGCUGAACUUAAGC
rnacentral:misc_RNA from 1 species